rnacentral:rRNA from 1 species
GAUGAACGCUGGCGGCGUGCCUAAUACAUGCAAGUCGAGCGAACGGACGAGAAGCUUGCUUUUCUGAUGUUAGCGGCGGACGGGUGAGUAACACGUGGAUAACCUACCUAUAAGACUGGGAUAACUUCGGGAAACCGGAGCUAAUACCGGAUAAUAUUUUGAACCGCAUGGUUCAAAAGUGAAAGACGGUCUUGCUGUCACUUAUAGAUGGAUCCGCGCUGCAUUAGCUAGUUGGUAAGGUAACGGCUUACCAAGGCAACGAUGCAUAGCCGACCUGAGAGGGUGAUCGGCCACACUGGAACUGAGACACGGUCCAGACUCCUACGGGAGGCAGCAGUAGGGAAUCUUCCGCAAUGGGCGAAAGCCUGACGGAGCAACGCCGAGUGAGUGAUGAAGGUCUUCGGAUCGUAAAACUCUGUUAUUAGGGAAGAACAUAUGUGUAAGUAACUGUGCACAUCUUGACGGUACCUAAUGAGAAAGCCACGGCUAACUACGUG